rnacentral:rRNA from 1 species
AUUGAACGCUGGCGGCAGGCCUAACACGUGCAAGUCGAGCGGAGGAAGGGGGCUUGCUCCUGGAUUCAGCGGCGGACGGGUGAGUAAUGCCUAGGAAUCUGCCUGGUAGUGGGGGAUAACGUCCUGAAACGGGCGCUAAUACCGCAUACGUCCAGAGUGAGAAAGUGGGGGAUCUUCAGACCUAACGCUAUUAGAUGAGCCCAGGUCAGAUUAGCUAGUUGGUGGGGUAAAGGCCUACCAAGGCGACGAUCCGUAACUGGUCUGAGGGAACGCUAAGACAAACUGGAACCUUCACACGGUUCUGACUCCUACGGGAGGUGGCAGACGGGAAUGUUUCGCCAACGGCGGCAGCAUAAUUCAGACCAGCCGCGUCUGUGAAGAAGGUCUUCGGAUUGUAAACAACUUUCAGAAAGGAAGCAAGGCAGUAAGUAAAUAUAUUGCCGUUUUGACGUUCCCAAAAACAUAAGCCACGGCUAACUUCGUG